GACGGUUAGAAGGACCACCGGGAUUGCCUCAGUAACGGCGAGUGAAGCGGCAAGAGCUCAAAUUUGAAAGCUGGCUCCUUCGGGGUCCGCAUUGUAAUUUGCAGAGGAUGCUUCGGGUGCGGCCCCUGUCUAAGUGCCCUGGAACGGGCCGUCAGAGAGGGUGAGAAUCCCGUCUGGGAUGGGGUGUCCGCGCCCGUGUGAAGCUCCUUCGACGAGUCGAGUUGUUUGGGAAUGCAGCUCUAAAUGGGUGGUAAAUUUCAUCUAAAGCUAAAUACUGGCCGGAGACCGAUAGCGCACAAGUAGAGUGAUCGAAAGAUGAAAAGCACUUUGAAAAGAGAGUUAAAAAGCACGUGAAAUUGUUGAAAGGGAAGCGCUUGCGACCAGACUCGCCUCCAGGGUUCAGCCGGCAUUCGUGCCGGUGUACUUCCCUGGGGGCGGGCCAGCGUCGGUUUGGGCGGCCGGUCAAAGGCUCCCGGAAUGUAGUGCCCUCCGGGGCACCUUAUAGCCGGGAGUGCAAUGCGGCCAGCCUGGACCGAGGAACGCGCUUCGGCACGGACGCUGGCAUAAUGGUCGUAAACGACCCGUCUUGAAACACGGACCC
rnacentral:rRNA from 1 species